rnacentral:lncRNA from 1 species
AAGCCACACGGAUCCUCUUGUCUUGGUCUCCUGACAUUUGGAUUAAAGUCACCUGGAGGUGCAGGCCAUCGCUAUGUUAAACCUAUGAGGUGAUGAUAAACCACACAA